UACGAAAAGGAAUGCGAUUCUGUGGUC
rnacentral:piRNA from 1 species